rnacentral:tRNA from 1 species
AUUCAUAUAGUUUAAUUAAAACACUACAUUUUCAAUGUAAAGAUAAUAUAUAAUAUUUAUGAAUA